rnacentral:rRNA from 1 species
AAAUUGAAGAGUUUGAUCAUGGCUCAGAUUGAACGCUGGCGGCAGGCCUAACACAUGCAAGUCGAACGGUAACAGGAAGCAGCUUGCUGCUUCGCUGACGAGUGGCGGACGGGUGAGUAAUGUCUGGGAAACUGCCUGAUGGAGGGGGAUAACUACUGGAAACGGUAGCUAAUACCGCAUAAUGUCGCAAGACCAAAG